rnacentral:misc_RNA from 1 species
GAUGAAGAACGUAGCGAAAUGCGAUAAGUAAUGUGAAUUGCAGAAUUCAGUGAAUCAUCGAAUCUUUGAACGCACAUUGCGCCCGCCAGUAUUCUGGCGGGCAUGCCUGUUCGAGCGUCAUUUCAACCCUCAAGCCCAGCUUGGUGUUGGGGAUCGGCACAGGCGCCCUCGGGCGCCCGCCGUCCCCUAAAUCUAGUGGCGGUCCCGCUGCAGCCUCCUCUGCGUAGUAGUUUUCUCCUCGCAAGGGCAGCUCGGUGGCGACCUCGCCGUAAAACCCCCAACUUCUGAAAUGGUGACCUCGAAUCAGGUAGGAAUACCCGCUGAACUUAAGCAUAUCAAUAAGCGGAGGA